GCCAGACUCCUACGGGAGGCAGCAGUGGGGGAUAUUGCACAAUGGGGGGAACCCUGAUGCAGCGACGCCGCGUGAGUGAAGAAGUAUUUCGGUAUGUAAAGCUCUAUCAGCAGGGAAGAAGAAAGACGGUACCUGAGUAAGAAGCCCCGGCUAACUACGUGCCAGCAGCCGCGGUAAUACGUAGGGGGCAAGCGUUAUCCGGAUUUACUGGGUGUAAAGGGAGCGUAGACGGUAUGGCAAGUCUGAAGUGAAAGCCCCGGGCUCAACCUGGGAAUUGCUUUGGAAACUGUUAAACUAGAGUGCUGGAGAGGCAGGCGGAAUUCCUAGUGUAGCGGUGAAAUGCGUAGAUAUUAGGAGGAACACCAGUGGCGAAGGCGGCCUGCUGGACAGUAACUGACGUUGAGGCUCGAAAGCGUGGGGAGCAAACAGGAUUAGAUACCCCUGUA
rnacentral:rRNA from 1 species